rnacentral:tRNA from 1 species
GCGGUAGCUAAAUUGGUAGAGCAAUUCCCCGGCAAGGAAAAGUUUGUGUGUGGGUUCAAGUCCCACCGCA